rnacentral:rRNA from 1 species
UACGUAGGGUGCAAGCGUUGUCCGGAAUUAUUGGGCGUAAAGAGCUCGUAGGCGGUUUGUCGCGUCGACUGUGAAAACCCGAGGCUUAACCUCGGGCCUGCAGUCGAUACGGGCAGACUAGAGUUCGGUAGGGGAGACUGGAAUUCCUGGUGUAGCGGUGAAAUGCGCAGAUAUCAGGAGGAACACCGAUGGCGAAGGCAAUCCCCUGGGCCUGUACUGACGCUCAUGCACGAAAGCGUGGGGAGCAAACAGG